rnacentral:tRNA from 1 species
UACAGCUCAGUGGUAGAGCAUGUGCUUAGCAUGCAUGAGGCCCUGGGUUCAAUUCCCACUA